rnacentral:rRNA from 1 species
AGUGAACGCUGGCGGUAGGUCUAACACAUGCAAGUCGAACGGCAGCACAGUAAGAGCUUGCUCUUACGGGUGGCGAGUGGCGGACGGGUGAGGAAUACAUCGGAAUCUACUUUUUCGUGGGGGAUAACGUAGGGAAACUUACGCUAAUACCGCAUACGAACUACGGGUGAAAGCAGGGGAUCUUCGGACCUUGCGCGAUUGAAUGAGCCGAUGUCGGAUUAGCUAGUUGGCGGGGUAAAGGCCCACCAAGGCGACGAUCCGUAGCUGGUCUGAGAGGAUGAUCAGCCACACUGGAACUGAGACACGGUCCAGACUCCUACGGGAGGCAGCAGUGGGGAAUAUUGGACAAUGGGCGCAAGCCUGAUCCAGCCAUACCGCGUGGGUGAAGAAGGCCUUCGGGUUGUAAAGCCCUUUUGUUGGGAAAGAAAAGCAGCAGGUUAAUACCCCGCUGUUCUGACGGUACCCAAAGAAUAAGCACCGGCUAACUUCGUG